AUUGAACGCUGGCGGCAUGCUUUACACAUGCAAGUCGAACGGUAACAGGGAGCUUGCUCCGCUGACGAGUGGCGAACGGGUGAGUAAUAUAUCGGAACGUACCCAGAAGUGGGGGAUAACGUAGCGAAAGUUACGCUAAUACCGCAUACGAUCCACGGAUGAAAGUAGGGGACCUUCGGGCCUUAUGCUUUUGGAGCGGCCGAUAUCGGAUUAGCUAGUUGGUGAGGUAAAGGCUCACCAAGGCGACGAUCAGUAGCUGGUCUGAGAGGACGACCAGCCACUGGAACUGAGACACGGUCCAGACUCCUACGGGAGGCAGCAGUGGGGAAUUUUGGACAAUGGGCGCAAGCCUGAUCCAGCAAUGCCGCGUGAGUGAAGAAGGCCUUCGGGUUGUAAAGCUCUUUUGUCAGGGAAGAAACGGCUGUGGCUAAUAUCCACGGCUAAUGACGGUACCUGAAGAAUAAGCACCGGCUAGCUACGUGCCAGCAGCAGCCGCGG
rnacentral:rRNA from 1 species